rnacentral:sRNA from 1 species
GUCAAUGUUUUCCUUUACGAGUCGGGAGUCAAACGGCUUGCCUGACAUAGGUUACUGGUUAUAGUGUUCAUAAGAGAGAGGCAAGGGAAGCAGGCGAAGACAAAUACAAUGGCGGAAUGGCUGACCUCUGUGCUUCUAGGUUUAGUAGUUGCCAUUAUCUACAUUUGUUACAGGGCCUUUUCUAUACCUCGCAAGCUUCCUCCAGGACCAAGAAUUUUCCCCAUCAUAGGAAAUGUGUAUGGUUUGUUUGGCACUAAGAACAUACUGAAGUCUUUUGUUGCCCUACGAGGACAGUAUGGCGAUCUUUUCACGUUGACAAUCGGCGGGAAAUUUUAUAUUGUUGUAAAUGGUUAUGAAACAAUGAAAGACAUCUUUAUUAACUAUGCAGAUAUCGUAUCAACUCGAUCGGGCAAUUUUUUAAGCAACGAGAUGAUAAAAGGAAACGGCAUUGUAUUUUCAUCUGGCCAUCGAUGGAAAAUAAACAGAACGUUUACAAUGUCCAUGUUAAGGGAAUAUGGAUUCGGCAAAAAAUCGUUUGAAUUAAAUAUCUUGAAGGAGGUUGAAGUUAUUAUUAAUGUCUUCGAACAACAAGCAGGAAAGCCUAUGUGUGUCACAAGCAGUGAUUUCAUAACCGUAAGUAUAGCAAAUAUUAUGUGUGAUGUGACCUUGGGGAGACGUUUUGAUAGCAAUGAUCAGGACUUUCUGGACAUCGUGAACGCUAUCAAUGCAACAACCAGCAAUGUCAACACUAUAGGGGCUCUGACAGCAUUUCCCUUUCUUGCGAAAAUACCAGGGGAUCCAUUAGGAGGACAGGAAACAAUAAAACAAAACCAAUUUUUUCAAAACGGUGUUAGUAAAAUGGUGAAGGAACAUCUUCAGACGUAUGAAGAGAACCAUAUUCGUGAUUUCAUCGACGCUUACAUUCGAAAAAUGAGAAAAGAAAGUCAAGGCAACGAGCAGGAUUUCAAUGAGAAACAACUUUUGCAGAUUGUUAUGGAUCUCCUGGGCGCGGGCACAGAAACAUCGGCCACAAGCAUGAGAUGGUUCAUCCUUUUUAUGAUGACGCACCCAAAAGUUCAAGCACGCAUGCAUGAAGAGAUACAUUACGUCAUCGGACAUUCAAAAUAUCCUUCCAUGAGUCACAAAGAUAGCAUGCCAUAUUCAGAGGCAGUCCUUACCGAGACCUUGCGACUCGGUUGUGUCGCCCCGUUAGCCAUACCCCACGGAUUGACCAAGGAACUGAAAUAUGGACAGUUUCGGAUUCCAGACCACGCUGUUCUUAUUCCAAACAUCUACUCGGUUCUGUUUGAUCCGUCUAUCUUUGAACACCAGAUUCGUUCAUUCCAGAAAGAUUUCUUGAUGACAACGGUAAACUCAAUGGAAAGGAGAAAUACGUGGUGUCCUUUUCUUUGGGUAAGCGAGUCUGCCUUGGAGAGGCCCUAG